CUCAUCAAAACCUACUUUCCUGGACCAGCCACAGUGCAAUGGAAUUCAGGCGCCAUCACCAGUGGAAUCCACAACUUCCCUCCAGUCUUGCAUCCAUCCGGCCAGUAUACUCACACCAGCCUGCUCACCAUCCCCUUCAGCAAGUGGGAAUCCGAGACAUUCCACUGCAACGUUGAGCAUGCAGCCACCAACUCCAGAAUCAACCAAAACAUUGAGCAUGAGUCUAGAUGUGAAGCCCAUGAACCGGAGUCUCCUGAUGUCCAUCUGCUCCAUUCUUCUUGCAACCGGAAAUGCAGUGAUGGAGUCAUAGAGCUGGUGUGCCUCAUUGAGGGUUUUUACCCCAAUGAGAUUAAUGUUGAGUGGCUGGUAGGCAGCCACCAUGGAUUGCUGGCUCCCUACACCGAACCUCCCAGGCGUGAUGUAAAUAAGUACACUUUCAGUACUGUUAGCAGGGUCAACAUCACCCAAGCAGAUUGGUUGGAAGGAAACACUUACUACUGCCAGGUAACCCAUGCGGCCUCACAAACCCAGGUGAAAGGCAGAGCCAGGAAAUGUGAAGAGGCCAGCAAUCACUUCUCCACUGGGGUUACUGCCUACCUUCUGCCCCCACGGCCAAAAGACUUGUACAUAAACAGAAAUGCCAGGCUCCUUUGUGUGGCUGUCAAUCUGCAACAGGAAGAGGGGUUGAAAAUAAGCUGGUCACGUGAGAAGAAAGUUGCCAUGCAUCCAGAAUUAGUGGUGGUGACUGAAGAAAACAAUGGAACCUUCACUGCUGUUGGCCGUUACCCUCUCUCUGCCCUUGAUUGGGAAUCAGGAGAGACGUUCACCUGCUCAGUGGAAUAUCCAGGUUUGCCUGGUCCCAUCGUGAAUACAAUUUCCAAGAGCCCAGAAAAGAGCAAGGCACCAUCCAUCCACAUCUACCCUCCCAUCCCUGGCAAUUCACUUAUUCUCACCUGCUUGGUUCAAGGCUUUUACCCAGAAAAUAAUGAUGUCCAGUGGCUAAAGAAUGGCAAUGCCAUUUCAGAAGAUGACUACGUCAACACCCCAGCUGUAAAAGAAAAGAGGGAUGGGUCCUUCUUCCGCUAUAGCAAAUUGAGAAUCUCUGAAUCGGAAUGGCGUCCCGGCAACACAUACAGAUGUAUGGUUGUUCAUGAGGCCCUUGAACAGAAGUUCACCCAGAGGAACAUAGCAAAAACAUCGGGUAAACGUUGAAGACUCCCCUCAACAGGCAUUGUCCUCCUAGAUUUGACUCUCACGGUGUUUGAUCCAAAUUCUUGUAAAUAGUUUACAUGCUAAUGUGUUUUGCUGCUGGCUGAA